UGGGUAAUAUUGCACAAUGGGGGAAACCCUGAUGCAGCGACGCCGCGUGAGCGAUGAAGGCUUUCUAGUCGUAAAGCUCUGCCCUAGGGGAAGAUAAUGACGGUACCAGAGAAGAAAGCCCCGGCUAAUUACGUGCCAGCAGCCGCGGUAAUACGUAAGGGGCGAGAGUUGUCCGGAAUUAUUGGGCGUAAAGAGUGCGUAGGCGGCAAAUUAAGUCAGAUGUGAAAACUAAGGGCUCAACCCAUAGAUUGCAUCUGAAAAUGAUAUGCUUGAGUCAAGGAGAGGAAAGUGGAAUUCCUAGUGUAGCGGUGGAAUGCGUAGAUAUUAGGAGGAAUACCGGUGGCGAAGGCGACUUUCUGGACUUGAACUGACGCUGAGGCACGAAAGCGUGGGGAGCAAACAGG
rnacentral:rRNA from 1 species